UAGCUCAGUCAGUUAGAUCGUGGUGCUGAUAACACCAAGGCCGCGGGUUCGAUCCCCGC
rnacentral:tRNA from 1 species